CAUGAAGAACAGCUUUCUCCUCCUUCUACCAUCGCAGCUACAACAAUACGUGAAACAACACCUGAGAUAAACAAUAUUACCACAGGUGGUGGAGACAGGAACCAUUUGCUUUCAUCACUUCCUAGCUUGGCCCUGCCUGACCAUGAAGAACAGCUUUCACCUCCUUCCACCAUCGCAGCUACAACAAUACGUGAAACAACACCUGAGAUAAAUGAUAUUACCACAGAUGGUGGAGACAGGAACCAUUUGCUUUCAUCACUUCCUAGCUUGGCCCUUCCUGACCAUGAAGAACAGCUUUCACCUCCUUCCACCAUCGCAGCUACAACAAUACGUGAAACAACACCUGAGAUAAACGAUAUUACCACAGAUGGUGGAGACAGGAACCAUUUGCUUUCAUCACUUCCUAGUUUGGG